rnacentral:lncRNA from 1 species
GGAAGGCAGUGACCACGUAUGGACCCUCCGCCUGUGGACGGUGGUGGCCGCUCCUCCAAGUGUCCCCUUUCCCUAAACACGUUCAGCACAGGAGCCCUUGGGGACAGCCCAGAUCCACAGUGUCCGCUAUGGACACAUCCCAACAGGGUUGAGAGGCAUCUUCCUUCCUCAUGACAUGCGGACCGCUGUGGGAACUGAAGCUCAUAAGCAGCUUGCCUGUGUUUGUUCAGGUGAAGGAACUGAUUUCAACCUCAUAAGAACUGAAGAAUUUUUUCUUCAAGUCAGUGCAUGGAUUUGUCCUACACAUGUUUAUUCAGCACCUAGAGUGUGUCAGCGUGAUGCUCAGUCUCGGGGUCACAGUCCUGGAGAUCCAGGUGAUUGGUAUCCUCCAAGCUGUAAGUGCGCUGCAGGAGACAGUGGAAAACUUGUGAUUAUGUUAACAGCUUUGAUUGGUGUCGCCCAGACCUGGGCCUGCAACAUCUGUCCAGUCUUCUGCUUCCUGGGUUUGCUUUGCUGCUGUGGAUUUGCUCCUUCCUUUUCAACAUCAGGAUCAAUGGCAUGAAUGAUAACACACCCUAGUCCCCUGAGACGGAGUUUGACAUCAGUGGGACAGAGAGCCACACUGCGGGGUGUGUGGCCAGCUGUGGAGCGGGCCUUCCUCCUCUCAGCUUGGUGAAGGUUUCCUGCUUUGAUUUUGAUGGGGAACUUGAUUCUGAGGUCCUGGGAGACUUUUCACUGUUCACAUUUCAGAGGUCACAGGCCCUGGGUCUGAGCCUUACUUUUUACUGGUACUGGAAUGAUAGGGAAAGUGCGGAAGUUGGAAGAGCUGAUAUGAAAUGGUGAUCCAAGUAGAACCGCAUGCAGUGAGAAGACAGGAUUGGGUGAGGUCUUUGCAGGUUGCUUUUCUAAAGAAUAGCAACAAGAUGGCAUCUGAAGACUCUGGGACUAUUUUAAGCCAAAGUACUCUUUCUAGAAGGUGGACCUGUUUUAAUAACAGAAAAGCAUGAUUUAUUUUGCAAAAUCAUAUUCAAAAAUUUGGGAAAAUUCCAAGAAAUAAGAAGGUGAAAACAGGAAGCAUCUUCAAUGCUAUCAAUUAGAGAUGA